rnacentral:rRNA from 1 species
UGCCGCGUGCAGGAAGACGGCCCUAUGGGUUGUAAACUGCUUUUAUACCGGAAUAAACCUUGAUUCGUGAAUCAAGCUGAAUGUACGGUAAGAAUAAGGAUCGGCUAACUCCGUGCCAGCAGCCGCGGUAAUACGGAGGAUCCAAGCGUUAUCCGGAUUUAUUGGGUUUAAAGGGUGCGUAGGUGGUUCUUUAAGUCAGGGGUGAAAGACGGCAGCUUAACUGUCGCAGUGCCUUUGAUACUGAAGAACUUGAAUCCACUAGAGGUAGGCGGAAUGUGACAAGUAGCGGUGAAAUGCAUAGAUAUGUCACAGAACACCAAUUGCGAAGGCAGCUUACUAUGGUGGUAUUGACACUGAGGCACGAAAGCGUGGGGAUCAAACAGGAUUAGAUACCCUGGUAGUCCACGCCCUAAACGAUGAAUACUCGAUGUUGGCGAUAUACGGUCAGCGUCUAAGCGAAAGCGUUAAGUAUUCCACCUGGGGAGUACGCCCGCAAGGGUGAAACUCAGAGGAAUUGACGGGGGCCCGCACAAGCGGAGGAGCAUGUGGUUUAAUUCGAUGAUACGCGAGGAACCUUACCCGGGCUUGAAAGUUAGUGAAUAAAGCAGAGACGCUUUAGUCCUU